UACGAAGGGGGCUAGCGUUGCUCGGAAUCACUGGGCGUAAAGGGUGCGUAGGCGGGUCUUUAAGUCGGGGGUGAAAUCCUGGAGCUCAACUCCAGAACUGCCUUCGAUACUGGCGAUCUCGAGUCCGGGAGAGGUGAGUGGAACUGCGAGUGUAGAGGUGAAAUUCGUAGAUAUUCGCAAGAACACCAGUGGCGAAGGCGGCUCACUGGCCCGGUACUGACGCUGAGGUGCGAAAGCGUGGGGAGCAAACAGG
rnacentral:rRNA from 1 species